rnacentral:rRNA from 1 species
AGAGUUUGAUCCUGGCUCAGGAUGAACGCUGGCGGCGUGCCUAAUACAUGCAAGUCGAACGGGAAGCGGUACUUGUAUCGCUGAGAGUGGCGGACGGGUGAGUAACACGUAGGCGACCUGCCCCGGAGAGGGGGAUAACGCACCGAAAGGCGCGCUAAUACCCCAUAAGCUCACACGGAUCAGAAGGGUGUGAGAAAAGGAAAAUUGCUCUGGGAGGGACCUGCGGCCCAUCAGGUCGUUGGUAGGGUAACGGCCUACCAAGCCGAUGACGGGUAGGGGGCCUGAGAGGGUGGUCCCCCACACGGGCACUGAGAGACGGGCCCGACUCCUACGGGAGGCAGCAGUAAGGGAUAUUGCACAAUGGGCGCAAGCCUGAUGCAGCAACGCCGCGUGCCUGAGGAAGGCCUUCGGGUCGUAAAGGGCUUUUCUGGCUGAAGAGCAAGGACAGUAGGCCAGGAAGAAGUGUCGGCUAACUACGUGCCAGCAGCCGCGGUAAAACGUAGGACGCGAGCGUUAUCCGGAGUUACUGGGCGUAAAGGGCGGGCAGGCGGACGGACAAGUUGGCGGUGAAAGCGCCCGGCUCAACCAGGCGAGGCCCGUCGAAACUGUCCGACUGGAGGGCAAGGGAGGCGCGUGGAAUUCCCGGUGGAGUGGUGAAAUGCGUAGAGAUCGGGAGGAACACCAGAGGC